CCGCCUUCUCUUUCUCCUCCCCUUGGUUGGUGAAUGCACUCAUAAUUGCCGGCACACACUGAAACAAACAACAACAAAUGGUCCGUUUGAAUGCUAAUUCACCCAGUUGGUGCUUGUGAAUAUUAUGAAUGAAAGAUUAUUACUUGUUGAUCAAGAUAGCUCAUUCAAUUACCUUUUCAUCGAUGAAUCUGGCCCAGAAGCGUGCCUGUGCCCUUUCGUAGGGAUCUUGCGGCAGGAUCGGAUUGUGCUUCCACGUCUCAUCGAUGUAUUCGAGUAUAAUGAGCGAUUCCGCGACCGGCUUGCCGUCGUGCACAAGAACGGGUACUUUUUUGUGGACGGGGUUGUAACGGAGGAGCAAGGGGCUCUUGUUUGGGAGGUCCUCUUCAACAUACUG
rnacentral:lncRNA from 1 species